ensembl:lncRNA
CCGGCGGCGAUAUACCCGGAAUUCCUGCUCGGCUGCUCCGCCAUGCCAGUGAUGUGGCGGGCGGAGCCGGGGAGGCUUCGUGAUUGGAGGAGGGAGAACACGGGAGAGCCAAUCCCGUGCCGCGGGCGGGCUGAUUAGGAACCACGUGACGGAGGAACACGCCGGAUGGACGUUAUCGGACUUGUUCAGCUGUCAGGUCUACAUGGUGUUUGUGAUAUAAACAUUAUUACAUACGUUACAUUUGUUAAAAGGAUGGAUGCAGUUUAAUAUUCACAGGCCUUAGGUUUACUAUUUUGGUUCCCCGUCCCCGCUCGGAUCUGCCUCGCAGCUGUUUUCAGACGUGUACAUGCCCAGAGCCAACGGCUGGACAAUGCAGUGGACAACUUUGUCCCUCUGGAGUCGGCGGUGAAAAGAUAGAGACACUUUCAUCAGGAAGCUGGACCUAUGUGGGACAUUGGCUGCCUCCGGGUCUGGCUGGAAAAACCUCUCACCCUCCAGACCUUUCCACAGUGCUCCUGGCUGCCAAACGCACUCACUCACG